rfam:Enterococcus devriesei strain DSM 22802 Scaffold9, whole genome shotgun sequence.
GGGGCUGUUUCUGGAUUCGACAGGCAUUGUUCGGGCCUGAGUUGCGCUUCGUAGGUUACGUCUACGUAAAAACGUUACAGUUAAAUAUAACUGCUAAAAACAAUAACAACUCUUACGCUUUAGCUGCCUAAAAACAGUUAGCGUAGAUCCUCCCGGUAUCGCCCAUGUGCUCGGAUCAGGGUCUCAAAUUAAGUGGGAUACGUUUUAACUUUCCGUCUGUAAGUUAAAAAAGAGAUCAUCAGACUAGCGAAAUAGACUGCUUGUCACUCGGCAUGCUAUCGAGCGAAACUUCAAAUGAGUUGACUAUGAGCGUAGAGAUUUAGGUUAAGAGAUGUUUGGACAGGGGUUCGAUUCCCCUCAGCUCCAUUA